rnacentral:rRNA from 1 species
AGAGUUUGAUCCUGGCUCAGGAUGAACGCUGGCGGCGUGCUUAACACAUGCAAGUCGAGCGGAGUAACCCGACAGAAAUUUUCGAAUGGAUGUCGGACUUACUUAGCGGCGGACGGGUGAGUAACGCGUGGGCAACCUGCCCUGUACAGAGGAAUAACAUUGGGAAACCAGUGCUAAUACCUCAUACCUCCUCCGGGUGGCAUCACCUGGAGGGGAAAGAUUUUAUCGGUACAGGAUGGGCCCGCGUCUGAUUAGUUAGUUGGUGAGGUAACAGCUCACCAAGACGAUGAUCAGUAGCCGACCUGAGAGGGUGAUCGGCCACACUGGAACUGAGACACGGUCCAGACUCCUACGGGAGGCAGCAGUGGGGAAUAUUGCACAAUGGGGGAAACCCUGAUGCAGCAACGCCGCGUGAGCGAUGAAGGCCUUCGGGUCGUAAAGCUCUGUCCUAAGGGAAGAUAUAGACGGUACCUUAGGAGGAAGCCCCGGCUAACUACGUGCCAGCAGCCGCGGUAAUACGUAGGGGGCAAGCGUUAUCCGGAAUUACUGGGCGUAAAGGGUGCGUAGGCGGUCAAAUAAGUCAGGGGUGAAAGACUAUCGCUCAACGAUAGCAAGCCUUUGAAACUAUUUGACUUGAGUGCAGGAGAGGAGAGUGGAAUUUCUAGUGUAGCGGUGAAAUGCGUAGAUAUUAGAAGGAACACCAGUGGCGAAGGCGACUCUCUGGACUGCAACUGACGCUGAGGCACGAAAGCGUGGGGAGCAAACAGGAUUAGAUACCCUGGUAGUCCACGCCGUAAACGAUGAGUGCUAGGUGUCGGGGGUCAAACCUCGGUGCCGGAGCUAACGCAAUAAGCACUCCGCCUGGGGAGUACGCUCGCAAGAGUAAAACUCAAAGGAAUUGACGGGGACCCGCACAAGCAGCGGAGCAUGUGGUUUAAUUCGAAGCAACGCGAAGAACCUUACCUAAACUUGACAUCCUUCUGAAAGAGCCUUAAUCGGUUCCCUCCUUCGGGACAGAAGAGACAGGUGGUGCAUGGUUGUCGUCAGCUCGUGUCGUGAGAUGUUGGGUUAAGUCCCGUAACGAGCGCAACCCUUGUCUUUAGUUGCCAUCAGGUAAUGCUGGGCACUCUAGAGAGACUGCCGUGGAUAACACGGAGGAAGGUGGGGAUGACGUCAAAUCAUCAUGCCCCUUAUGUUUAGGGCUACACACGUGCUACAAUGGCUAACACAAAGGGCAGCAAGAGGGCGACCUUAAGCGAAUCCCAUAAAGUUGGUCCCAGUUCGGAUUGGAGGCUGAAACUCGCCUCCAUGAAGCUGGAGUUGCUAGUAAUCGUGGAUCAGAAUGCCACGGUGAAUGCGUUCCCGGGUCUUGUACACACCGCCCGUCACACCACGGAAGUUGGAGGCACCCGAAGUCAGAGGAAUCUGCCGAAGGUGAAAUCAAUGACUGGGGUGAAGUCGUAACAAGGUAGCCGUAUCGGAAGGUGCGGCUG